AUCAAGAGAAGUUGUGAACAAUUUGCAGUUUUCUUUUGCUUUGCACUAGGAUGCAAAAGAAAAUAAUCCCUGGGCUUUCUGUCUGUUUUUGUGGCGGCCCAAACUAAAUUGGAGGGUACAUCA
rnacentral:snoRNA from 1 species